rnacentral:rRNA from 1 species
UACGUAGGGGGCGAGCGUUAUCCGGAUUUACUGGGCGUAAAGCGCACGUAGGCGGACUCUUAAGUCGGUGGUGAAAUCCUGGAGCUCAACUCCAGAACUGCCUUCGAUACUGAGAGUCUUGAGUCCGGGAGAGGUGAGUGGAACUGCGAGUAUAGAGGUGAAAUUCGUAGAUAUUCGCAAGAACACCAGUGGCGAAGGCGGCUCACUGGCCCGGUACUGACGCUGAGGUGCGAAAGCGUGGGGAGCAAACAGG